rnacentral:rRNA from 1 species
GUGCCAGCAGCCGCGGUAAUACAGAGGUCCCGAGCGUUGUUCGGAUUCACUGGGCGUAAAGGGUGCGUAGGUGGCAUGGCCAGUUUGAUGUGAAAGCUCAGGGCUUAACCCUGAAAUGGAAUUGAAUACUGUUGAGCUGGAGGUUUGGAGGGGGGACUGGAAUUCUUGGUGUAGCAGUGAAAUGCGUAGAUAUCAAGAGGAACACCAGUGGCGAAGGCGAGUCCCUGGACAACACCUGACACUGAGGCACGAAAGCUAGGGGAGCAAACAGGAUUAGAUACCCUCGUAGUCC